AGUGAACGCUGGCGGUAGGCCUAACACAUGCAAGUCGAACGGCAGCACAGUAAGAGCUUGCUCUUACGGGUGGCGAGUGGCGGACGGGUGAGGAAUACAUCGGAAUCUACUUUUUCGUGGGGGAUAACGUAGGGAAACUUACGCUAAUACCGCAUACGACCUACGGGUGAAAGCAGGGGAUCUUCGGACCUUGCGCGAUUGAAUGAGCCGAUGUCGGAUUAGCUAGUUGGCGGGGUAAAGGCCCAUCAAGGCGACGAUCCGUAGCUGGUCUGAGAGGAUGAUCAGCCACACUGGAACUGAGACACGGUCCAGACUCCUACGGGAGGCAGCAGUGGGGAAUAUUGGACAAUGGGCGCAAGCCUGAUCCAGCCAUACCGCGUGGGUGAAGAAGGCCUUCGGGUUGUAAAGCCCUUUUGUUGGGAAAGAAAAGCAGCAGGUUAAUACCCCGCUGUUCGGACGGUACCCAAAGAAUAAGCACCGGCUAACUUCGG
rnacentral:rRNA from 1 species